GCCAACACAAGACCCGACCCGAGAACUCCAACAACAGCCACAACAAUCAGAUCCGAACAACUGCCAAUCAUCGAGAGGCAAGCAGCGAGCAACGAACACGGCGCGGCGAACGGCGAUAGCGGCGUUGGCGUCCACGAACAUUGACCUUCAUUAGAGAACAAGAGGAAGAACCAGAACCAGCAGCAGCUCCAACAUAGUUUUAAGCUCUCUAGCUCUCUCACUGCCGUUGUUGUUGUUGCUGGUGCUGUAGGCCAUCAAUCAGUCACUCACUCUCUUGCUCGCUCACUCAAGUCAAGCGCAGCUUAUUUCCCCUUUCAGUACUUCCCGAACGAGGCAGUGGCUGUUUUGGUGCAGCGCUGGACACGCUCUAGACGGACUUUAUUCAAACGGCGAUAGAUGCUACCUGCGAAUGGAUUAUGGGAACACCGACGUAUGUAAAUACAUAAAGACGAUGCAAGCCUCGUUUGGCCAGUACCUUGAGCUCUCUCUGCGACUACCAGGGGCUGUAUCUAGCGAAACAACAGCACCAAACGAAAUGCAAAAUGCGUUACCUUGCUUCUGGGAGGAACGGGAACGGGAUCGGACACGGACAGGAGAGGAGGGGAGCACAGAGCACAGCACAGCACUCACUUCUCGCUUAGAGCUGAAUCACCAUAAGCCCAAAGCCACGAAAGAAUAAAUAAUAAGUGACUUUGGACAGGCAGACAAGCGGAGGAACAGGGAGAAAGAGGGGGAGAUACAUAUAUCUAAUAAGAAAUCAGCAAAAGCCGCAUCUAAAAAA
rnacentral:sRNA from 1 species